rnacentral:rRNA from 1 species
GACGAACGCUGGCGGCGUGCCUAAUACAUGCAAGUAGAACGCUGAAGCUUGGUGCUUGCACCGAGCGGAUGAGUUGCGAACGGGUGAGUAACGCGUAGGUAACCUGCCUGGUAGCGGGGGAUAACUAUUGGAAACGAUAGCUAAUACCGCAUAAGAGUAGAUGUUGCAUGACAUUUGCUUAAAAGGUGCAAUUGCAUCACUACCAGAUGGACCUGCGUUGUAUUAGCUAGUUGGUGAGGUAACGGCUCACCAAGGCAACGAUACAUAGCCGACCUGAGAGGGUGAUCGGCCACACUGGGACUGAGACACGGCCCAGACUCCUACGGGAGGCAGCAGCAGGGAAUCUUCGGCAAUGGACGGAAGUCUGACCGAGCAACGCCGCGUGAGUGAAGAAGGGUUUCGGAUCGUAAAGCUCUGUUGUAAGAGAAGAACGAGUGUGAGAGUGGAAAGUUCACACUGUGACGGUAUCUGACCAGAAAGGGACGGCUAACUACGUG